UAGGAAUCACUGGGGAUCCUCCUAAAACAAGAUCUGAUUCAGCAGGUCCGGGGUGGGGCUUGGUACUCUGCCUUUCUUGCUUGUGUAAUUUUUUAUUGUCUUCAUUUUACUGACAUAUAAUUGACAUUAACACUGUGUAAGUGUUAUAUAUGUAUUUACAUAUUGCAAUGUGAUUAGCUAACACCUCUUUCAGGUCACAUGAUUAUAAUUUCUUUUUUGUGUUUGGCUAGGACAAUUAAGACGUAGUCUCUUAGCAACUCUGAAGUUUAUAACAGUUUUGUGGGCUAUAAUCACUAUGUGGCACUCUGCAUUUCUAACAGCUCCCCUAGGUGAUGCGCACGCCGCUGGUCUGCGGACCGCACUCUAGGCAGUGGGGACAGGACGGUCCACACCUGGGACACCUCUUCGAAGCCUCUGAGACUCUGAUCCAGGCUCUUCCCUCCAUCAUUUUUGCUGUGGUUAGCCCUGUAACUGGCAAAAGUUGUGUCUUUCUCAGGGUUUUUGAGUGACCUUGGGGCCUGCAGGGCAGUCCGUGGAGGAGCUGCUCCAUCUGGUGGACCCAAGAUGGUCCCGAUUUUGGACAUUCUGUCCCUUUAUCAGACCAUGAAGCUGACGAUGUUUCCAGAUGUUUGGCUCACCUGGGAGGGAACCCGAUUCUAAGCUCUGGCAGGGCCCAGGGGGCAUGUCUGUGAAGCACGCUUUGUGAGAAACACCACGCAACUUGGCAGGGGCUGGGGGCUGCAGUGGCCUCAGAACCACGGCUGUGAGCCCAGGACGGCAGAGCCCCAGAGACUCGGGGUGCCCUGGUGGUGACUGCCAGAGGGCGAGGGACACCACCUGGCUCCCAUCCUUUGUGUACAGAGCUGAUAUAAACCGUGACUACCAUCUGGUUUGGGUUCUGUCUGCUGGGGACAAAGCCGGGGACAAGGCCAGGGACAGGGCUGCAGGUGGCAGAGGAGCUCCGUUCCCCGACCCUGAAUCAUGGGAUCGGGCACGCCCUGCCUCAUCCAUGGUCAUCACCCUCCGAAAGCAGCAAUUAGAGGUUUGGGGGCACUGCGGCUUGCCACCAAAGGGUCACAUGUACCUCUGCUCGGCCAGAAAACUUGGCCAGAGGUGGCAGAGGGGGUCAGGCUAAGUUCACCCUUAGUGGAUCCAUUUUACAGAUUCCUGCCAAUGUCCACACAGUGGUUUAAAACACGGCCCUGGCGUGGGCGAGCGAGUCCUGAGCCUGAGGCCUGGCCCUGGCGCUCACAGGGCUGUGCCCUCAAGAAGCAUGAACUCGGGUCAAAGACCGGCCACCUCGUAGGGCAUGAGAAGCAAGGGGCCGUCCACAGUCCCUGGCCAUGCGCAGCCCACACUUGACCUCCCAGGCUUUGCUUUACCUGCGGCUUUCAGGGCGCUCCGCAGCUCGUAGGAAGACAUGGUGCCCGACUUGUCAGUGUCGAACUGAAGGAAAAGGUUCUGUGGGGAGGACAGAGGCAUUGAGAACCAGAGGGAGGGUACCCGAAGGCACCACCUUUGACAGUAACUGCAUACAGCCUGGACAGGAAGAGAGGCUCCUCCACCUUUUGCUUUCCUUUCCCUUCCGGGGGCAAGCUCUGGGGUACUUCUAUAAGCAGGAGAAGGGAACUGGGGAAUUGCAUCACAAUUCCUUCCCUUCAGCCCUUUCCCUUGGCCGCUGAAGACCCCCUCCUGCUCCAGGCUGGCGCAAUCCCCAGAGGCCCUGCCCGGCGGGAUCACGUACUGUCCACUUCUUCAGCUUGUCCCAGAACACUGUGAACUCCCCGAACUCUAGCUUCCCGUUGCCACUGGUCUGUGCCGAGCACGUUAAGGAAGGAAGGAAGGAAGAUGAGCAGGGUCUCAACCCAAGGUGCCUCGCGGGACUUUAGGGAUGGAGGGGCAACCGGCUGGCCUGGGGGACAGGUGGCAGAGUCAGGGCUCCUAGGGAGGUGGCUUAACUAUCAAACCACGCAUCUCUGAAGAGGGGAAAUGGCAGAGGUAAGAUGGGGAUGGCACCAGCAAGUUCGAGAAAGUACAAUAAAAACAUUCCCUUAUUAUUCCCUUAGCUGGGACCCCAAAGUGGCAACAAGACCCCCCAAGUGGCACCCCAAGUCCCUCCAAAAGCAUCCCCCCCUCCACUGGACAGUCUGUGCCUCUUGAUUCUGUUCCAGUUCUAGGGGCUGCCUGGUCUUUGGAUGUUCCCCGAGAAGAAGACUAUCCUACCGGUUAAAGGUGCCACAUUCUAAGAGGGUCUGCACGACAGGAAAACACAGCCCUUUCUGCCCACAGAUUGGAAGGAUACAUCCAUUAGAGAAAUGAUGUUUUUACAGGAAGUCAGGCUUAGUUUCUUGAAUUGGAGGUCCUUUUCUGAAAUCACACAUGAAAGCAGAAUUCAUUGGACAUGGGAUAAGAUAAGCCUAUUGCCGGCUGCUGGAAGUCCAAGAGCGUGGUCAGAUCCCGGGGUUGGUGAGGGGGAGACGUGCUCACUCUCAGGCUGCUGGUGAGAGCAGAAACUGACAUGGCCUUUGGGAAGGCAACACUGCACAAUAUAAAAAACGGGAAGAUCUUUCCAUUCACUUAUCCUAGUUUUAAGAAUCCCAAGCCAAGAAUUACAAUUUAACAUCUUUAUCAUCUGGUUAUGUAUAAUGGCAAAAAUUUAGAGAUGACAUAGAUGACCAAUGGAAGGGUAGGAGCAGAAAAGGUUAUGUGCGAAGGAUGGAUUGUUACACGGUCCUUAAGAACCAUGUUUCUGAAGCACAUUUAAUGAUCUGCGGAAAUGCUCAUAAAAAGUCAGUUUAAAAGGCAGGAUUUGCAAUUAUUGAAGAACCUUGAACACUCGUACACCGCUCGUAAAAGAGUCACUUUGGAAAACAGUCGGAUGGUUCCUUAAAACAGGAAGUACAGAGUUACCGUGUAAGGCAGCAAUUGUCCGAGGUAUAUACCCAAGAGAAAUGUCCACACAGGUGACUCGUUCAUGAAUGGUCACAGCAGCAUUAUUCAUAACGGCCAGAGAGUGGCAACAACCCUCAUGGCCAUCCGCGAGGAAUGGAGAAACAAAACCUGGUAUACUCCUACAAUGAAAUAUUACCCAGCCAUAAAAAGGAUUGAAGAGUCCUGGCAAACACUCCAACGUGGAUAAAUCUUGAAGACGUUAUGCUAAGUGAAAGAAGUCACUUAGGAUCACCUAU